rnacentral:lncRNA from 1 species
GGUGGGGGUGCCCUGGGCAGAGAGGGAGGGGAGAGACAGAGUGUGUGUGAGAACAGGAAUAGAGUGUGUUCACUGCACUGUCAGAACUGUCGUCAGGGACAGCAGAGGAGAACUUUCAUCUCAGAGGUCUCUGGGUCCUGCGCUACAGCUGCAGAUCCUGUAAGUGAACAUUUACUCCUAGAACUUUUUUCUGUCAGUUCUGUCAUUCCUCAGCAGAUAUUGUCACCACUGUCAUAAUUGACUUUUUUAUAUCAUUUACAUAUAUAUUUUAAAUAAACAUUAAAAUUGUUUAUAUUUAU